AACUGCCAAAAUUGGCAGCAGCUGCUGCUGCUAGUGUGCCCGUCAGUCAGAUUGAGAGGUUAUGAGGUGAAUUUUCAGAACUGAUCAUUUUGACUGAGUGUUUGUGAAAUUGUGAUAUAGGGGAAGAAAGGAAGAGAAUCAAGUGAGGGUGGUGACAUAUGAUCAGCAGCUAAACACUGGAGAAACAUUCUGGAGGGUACACAAUAGAUCUUAUUAAUGUCUUUAUCUAGAUAGUUGCCAGUCUGAGAAAAGGGAGAGAUGAUUUCAGUCCCUGGACAAUCUGGACUCCAUCCAGAAAAAAAAAUUCUACUGCAGUAACACGUCCUGACUUGGAUCAAACAACAACGAGAUCUCGUCUUCUGUAAAGAAGGGAACAGCAUCAAUCCUCAGAAGCUCUACUGCUGUUUUAUACAUCAUGAGUGGAAUAACUAUGCUUACACAGUAAUAUGCUGGAAGAUUGUGCAAUUAUAUAUAAAUUCUUAAUCAGCGUGGAAAAGAAAUUAAUGGACGUUAUAUGCCCGACAUGUACCUUAAGCUAUCAGAAGACUGUAUUGAUGUGUAUAAUGAAUGAAGCAACACAGGAUUUUGCCUGGAGUCCUACAGGAUAAUCACAUUAAAUCAACAUUUAACAGUUUAUUUCAGUAAGUUAAAUGUUUUCAAAACAAAUUUAAGUUGUUAUUAAACCAGUUCAGUUACAAUAUCUAUUCACUAUUCACAAAUGUUUGUUA